rnacentral:rRNA from 1 species
UACGAAGGGGGCUAGCGUUGCUCGGAAUCACUGGACGUAAAGCGCACGUAGGCGGAUCUUUAAGUCAGGGGUGAAAUCCUGGAGCUCAACUCCAGAACUGCCUUUGAUACUGGGGAUCUCGAGUCCGGAAGAGGUGAGUGGAACUCCGAGUGUAGAGGUGAAAUUCGUAGAUAUUCGGAAGAACACCAGUGGCGAAGGCGGCUCACUGGUCCGGUACUGACGCUGAGGUGCGAAAGCGUGGGGAGCAAACGGG